CGGUAAUUAAUUAGUAGUGGAAAUAAUUUCUGGUAGUGUAACAGUGUUUAUGUGGUAUUAUUCCACUUGCCACAAAUAUCAGUGUAAUGGGGAAACAGCGCCCCCCCCUCUCGGUGUGGCUGGCUGCAGUAAUCGCUGCCAGUCUGCCGUAGCCAUACGAGAGUGUGCUGUGCGGAGUGGUGUGUGGCGAGCCUGUGCACUGAUAAUACACCGUUGUUUCCAUUCAGG